GCCGCCUUAGCUCAGUUAGCAGAGCAUUCGCUUCGUAAGCGAAGGGUCCCCAGUGCAAAUCUGGGAGGCGGCU
rnacentral:tRNA from 1 species